UCCACUGUUGCAUUUUUCAUACGUACGUAUACGCACGUAAAACUUUAAAUCCGUUUAAAUGUUACUUAUGAAAUAACCAAAUAAAUAAAGCAACAGAAUUUAGUGUUCCGCAAGUUUUAGUAUGCAUUUAUUAAAUUAUUUGUAAAAUAUUUAAAAAAUAGAAGGAUUCAAAGUUUUACGUGCGUGUACGUGCGUAGAAAAAACGCGACAGUGGA